rnacentral:snoRNA from 1 species
UUUACCCUGGGUGCCAUCCUUGGAAUGAGGGGAAGUACCUGGUGGGUUUCCACGGGAUA